rnacentral:sRNA from 1 species
GGAUACCAGGAUGGUGUCCCAAGUCAGGCUCCCUGCUCAGCGGGAAGCCUGCUUCUCCCUCUCCCUCUGCUUGUGUUCCCUCUCUUGCUGUGUCUCUGUCAAAUAAAUAAAAUCUUAAAAAAAAAAAAAAAAAGUUCUAGAUCUGGGGGGGAAAAAAAAAAGGAUGUGCAAGUAGCUACACUCCCCUGCUAGAAUGCCCAAACAAGCUCUUAAGGUCCAUUUAUAGGAGAAUAUAGGGCAGUCAAGAUUCCAAGACUUCAGACACAUCCAAACGAGGUGCUGCAUGUGGCAGCCUGCCUUUCUUU